rnacentral:rRNA from 1 species
UACAGAGGGGGCAAGCGUUGUUCGGAAUUACUGGGCGUAAAGGGCGCGUAGGCGGCCUGCUAAGUCGAACGUGAAAUCCCUGGGCUCAACCCAGGAACUGCGUCCGAUACUGGUUGGCUUGAAUCCGGGAGAGGGAUGUGGAAUUCCAGGUGUAGCGGUGAAUGCGUAGAUAUACUGGAGGAAUACCGGUGGCGAAGGCGGCAUCCUGGACCGACAUUGACGCUGAGGAGCGGAAAAGCUAGGGGAGCAAACGGGG